rnacentral:misc_RNA from 1 species
AGCAUUAACAAAAUGUAAGACUUUGCAUUCGCUAAAAAAAAAAUGACAACUAGCUUACUCAAUGGAUAUCAUGACACAUCAAUAUUUCCUAUUUUUCAUUGUACUUGAUAGGUUGAAAAAGUUAACCAAUAUGUCAAUAAUACUACUUGUUAUAUGCUUUUUUAUUAGUUCUCAUGAAAAUCCUUUUUUUUUCCUUACUUAUUUACAGACAAUUUAAAAAGAAACGAAAUGAUAUUACUUCAUUAAUUUUUUCCUACAUUUUUAUUUGUUUAGAAAUAAUUUACAAACGAUGCUCACUACUUACUGUAAACAUUAUCCUGGUGAUGAUGCAGCUCAAAACAAAGCUAUAAUUGAAGUUGUUCAAAAACUUGUACGACAGCCGACUCAACCAAACACAUCUGUUAGAGAUCAGAAACAAUGAAAAUGAUUACCUAAGUUACGCCACUUCACAAAUGAUACUUUAAUAGAUAUCUUAUUGUCUAGUAGCUCUUCAUACUGUCAAUCAAUUGUGGAUACUGUGACUCAAGAGCUCAAUAAUUUGUUUUUGUAUUCCGUAGUCCAGCAUUUUGUGGAAAAGUGUUUUGUUGCUGGUCAUAGUUUAGGUUCUUUGAUUCUUUUUGAUAUUCUUUCAAACCAAAACUUUAAUGAUUGCAGCAAAGAAAGGGCAAAACCUGAAGUUCUUGAAAGCUUUGAAAGUAACCAGCAAGAGUUAGAAAGCUUUGUAGAUAUUGAACAUCUUUUAAGAACUUUGAAUUUGGCAGAAUAUUUAGAUACUUUUAAUGAGGACGAAAUUAGUUUAUCAACACUGGUGAGGGUUGACUGAAAAGUUUUCCUCUUUAAUAUGAAAACUAAUUCAUGUUAUUCAUAGGUGGUGUAUUUAGCUUCAACCAAAUUUUUAAGUUCUUUAUCUAUAUUUUAGUUCUUUUUAUCAGAUGAAUAUUUGAAGAACAUGGGCUUACCUAUUGGUCCGGGUCGAAAAUUGGUGAAUGCUGUUAAGAAAAAAAAAAAAAAUUUUAUGUAGUAUUUUUUUUUAUAAAAUAACAAUUUUUUUUAAAUCAUAGCUUUUAAUACAUAACAUACUUUGAUUUGCUAAAAACUCCAAUAAUAGCAAUAAAAUUUACAUUUUAAAUUUUUUUUUUUUUUAAAUUUUAUAUUUAUCUUUUGAAAUGAGUUUAAACCUUUCAAUAUGGUUUAUUCAUAGGAUUAUAUACAAUCAUAUGGUUGUGAAUUAUGUCUCUCAAAUUAUAUUAGCAUAUUUGCUAAAUUAUUUUUUAAUUUUUUCCUAUAGCUUUUGUGGUGUUUGUGAAUUUUGUUUUCAUUUGUUUAAAAUCAUUACAUAUGUUUAUGCUUUAUUUGAGCAUUUCUUUGUUAUUUGUUUGACCUUUCACAUGAAAAUGCAAUAUCUUUUUUUAGAAAUUUUUUGUUGAAAUUCCGGCUACAAUAUCAAUAAAACUAUUGUAAUGUAACUGUUUAAGAAAAGUUUCUUGAUAUAUACAUUUACUUUGUUUAUAUAUAUAUUUUCAUUUUGUGUGCUGCAAAAUUAUGCAUGCCCUACAAUUUCUGUUAAAUUUAAUUCUUUAUGUGCUUCAUAAAAACUAUUAAAAUGUAAAUUAAAUAAGUUUUGAAUUGAAAAAUUAUUGCAACAUGAGCAAGAAUUUUAAUUUUGUUAUUUUCACCUAAAACAUUUAAUGGUCACAUGAUCAACCAUUUUAUCGAUUUAGCAAAUUGUUAGAAAGUCCUUUUAAAGUUUCUAAAUUUAUUUAAUUUCAAGCAAAGUAUUGUUAGUUUUAUUUAAUUCUUGUUGUUGUAUUGAUAACAGUUCACUUAAUUCUUUUUUAUCCAACUAAUGUAAAAUUUCAUGAUUGGAUUCAAGCCAAGGGAGUAAGCUGAUCAAUCCAUAAUUUAAUUAUAUUUUUAGGUAGAGCUAGCUGCUAGUGCUUGCACUAGAGUGUAUGGAUGUGUUGUCGUGUUGCCAAAACAAGUUUAGAUUUCCUAUUCUUCUUCGAAAACGUAUUAAGUUUGUCCUGUAGAACUUUUUGACAGUAGUCCUUGUUAUCCAUUUUAUGUUAAGUAAAGGCUAAAUUUAGUUUACCGUGUUUACUGUAGGCUUCCCAGGAGAACAUUUUUCUUUGACCACUCCCUCCAAUAAUAUGAGUAUCCAUCUGGGCAUUUUAGAAAUUAAAUUUCUGGUCACUAAAAAUAACCCAUAAUUAAAAACUCUAAUUUUGUGAAUAGUGGUUUCAUCGCAACGAAAAUUGUUAGUUUAAUAUUUAUUAGUGACUAAUUACUAUUCAUGUUUUUUUUCUUCAAAAAUUUAAUCUUGUGACUUUAUGAUGAGGUUUCUGACUUUCCCUUUAUUGCUCACAGAACUCAAUCCUUUGAAACAUCUAGGUUGAAUUUUGUUCAUACUUCAAACAUUGACUUAUCUGACACUGUUUGAAUAAUUUUUUUUCUUCCCAAUGAAAAAGUUUUUGAGGAUGUCCUGUAUAUUUAUUCAACUCUUAGAUAUACUGUUUAGUUAAAAUGUAAAUUGCACCAAUUAAAUGUUUUAGAAUGUACAUAUAUCCUUUACAUAUACUCUUAAAUGCAGUCAUCUGACCUUUCUCUAGGACAGACAGCUGAGUUUCGUAGGGCAUGAAAUAAAAUUGAAAUUUCAAAAUCAAAAUUCUUUUGCAUCUGGUUUCAAUAUCAAAAUAAAAGCAGAAUAUAUAUAUUUUUGUGAUUUUUUUUUUCCUUCAUAUUUGUAUGAUGCAGCUAAAAUCAAAAUAAAUAAUUUACAGUCUCACAUGAAUUUGUAGUAAGUAUUUUUUUAAAAUAAAAUCUAAUAAAUUCUGAGCAGCUAGUAGUAUGUGCAUAUUUUUUUACCUCACUGACUAUAGUUGCUCCUGUAAAAUGUUCAAAAACUUAUUACCAAAGAUUUAAUAAAAAAACUUGAGUUAUUUGCUAAAUAUUUCUGAAUCUAAUAUAAUUCCGUAGUGUAUAAAUCAGGUUAGAAUAAGUGUAUAUGAUUUGUAUAACAAAAAGCCACAAUAUUUUACUCUUGUAUUAUAUGAAAAACACAAGAGGAAUUUUGUUUUGAUAUUAUUAUGAUAAAUAAUAUCAAAAUACUUUGUAUACAAUAAAGAGGUUUGUGGAUUAAAAUAUUUUUGUAUUAUUUAGUUUAUUUACAUUCUAUCAAAAUUAUAAAAAUAUAGUAACUAAAGUAAACAGUGUACAAAGAUAUAAACAUUUUGUGUAUUGAGGUCUUCCAAUUACAAAGAGGCCUAUUUAAUUUUAAGCUUGAGCAGCUAUAAAUAUUAGCACUUGAGAAUGUGUAUUAAAA